rnacentral:rRNA from 1 species
AGCGAACGUUAGCGGCGGGCCUAACACAUGCAAGUCGAGCGAGAAAAGGGCUUCGGCCCCGAGUAAAGCGGCGGACGGGUGAGUAACACGUAGGUAAUCUUCCCUUGAGCGGGGGACAACGAGCCGAAAGGCUCGCUAAUACCGCAUACGUUUCUCGGGACUCCGGUCCUGGGAAGGAAAGCUAGGCCGCAAGGUCCGGCACUCGAGGAGGAGCCUGCGUCGCAUCAGCUAGUUGGUGGGGUAACGGCCUACCAAGGCGAGGACGCGUAGCUGGUCUGAGAGGAUGAUCAGCCACACUGAAACUGAGACACGGUUCAGACUCCUACGGGAGGCAGCAGUGGGGAAUAUUGGACAAUGGGCGCAAGCCUGAUCCAGCCACGCCGCGUGAGUGAUGAAGGCCUUCGGGUCGUAAAGCUCUGUGGGGAGGGACGAACCGCCGUUGGUUCAUAGCCAACGGCAUGACGGUACCUCCUUAGCAAGCACCGGCUAACUUCGUGCCAGCAGCCGCCGUAAAAC